GUUUUACAUUCUAAACUGUCUCUUUCAUUCGAAUUUAUAUAAAUUUUCUUCGGAAAAAUCAGCAUCAGAUUACAGUAGGAAAAGACAACACGAACGAUGUAUUUAUAUUGUUUGACAUUGUGACCUGAGAUUAUAAGGAUUAUUAGCGACGUAUUCACGAUGUGCAAAAUACACAAGGAAAUCGCUGUAUCAUUAGUGAAAUUAGCAGAAAAAGAGGAGUUUACCGAUCAAGAAAUAUCUGAAGAAGCCUUCAGAAAAACGCAAGACGUAUUUAAUUAUCUACAAAAAUUUGUCACUCUAAAAACUGACAGAAUGAACAUGAUAACGAUAGAAUCAUUAAGAGAGAAGAAACUUCAUCCCAACAUGGAAAAUUUUAUUUUUAAUCUAGCCGUAGCCGAAAAUAUGAUGGUGCUUUAAAAACAUGACAAUCAAAAAUUAAUUAUAUUUCUAUUCUAAAUGGUUAAAAUUCAUACAUUCCUUAAAAAUAUAUUUUUUACAAUUUACAAUUAUGCACUAAACGAAAAAUAAAUAAGAAAAAAAUA